ACGACCGCCAGGUCGAGAUCGUCGGCGCCGAAGCCGCCGGUGAUGGCAUCAGCACCGGCCGUCACGCCGCUUCGAUCGCUGCCGGUCGCCC
rnacentral:tRNA from 1 species